UGAUCGAAGCCCCAGUAAACGGCGGCCGUAACUAUAACGGUCCUAAGGUAGCGAAAUUCCUUGUCGGGUAAGUUCCGACCUGCACGAAUGGCGUAAUGAUGGCCAGGCUGUCUCCACCCGAGACUCAGUGAAAUUGAACUCGCUGUGAAGAUGCAGUGUCCCCGCGGCAAGACGGAAAGACCCCGUGAACCUUUACUAUAGCUUGACACUGAACAUGGAGCCUUGAUGUGUAGGAUAGGUGGGAGGCUUGGAAGUGCGGACGCCAGUCUGCAUGGAGCCAUCCUUGAAAUACCACCCUUGAAUGUUCGAUGUUCUCACUUAAGCCCGUGACCCGGGUUGAGGACAGUGUCUGGCGGGUAGUUUGACUGGGGCGGUCUCCUCCCAAAGCGUAACGGAGGAGCACGAAGGUUGGCUAAUCACGGUCGGACAUCGUGAGGUUAGUGCAAAGGCAGAAGCCAGCUUAACUGCGAGAGUGACGGCUCGAGCAGGUACGAAAGUAGGUCUUAGUGAUCCGGUGGUUCUGCAUGGAAGGGCCAUCGCUCAACGGAUAAAAGGUACUCCGGGGAUAACAGGCUGAUACCGCCCAAGAGUUCAUAUCGACGGCGGUGUUUGGCACCUCGAUGUCGGCUCAUCACAUCCUGGGGCUGAAGUAGGUCCCAAGGGUAUGGCUGUUCGCCAUUUAAAGUGGUACGCGAGCUGGGUUUAGAACGUCGUGA
rnacentral:rRNA from 1 species